rnacentral:rRNA from 1 species
UGGGGAAUAUUGCACAAUGGAGGGAGCUCUGAUGCAGCGACGCCGCGUGAGUGAUGAAGGAAUUCGUUUCGUAAAACUCUGUUCUAUGGGAAGAAAAGGACUGUACCAUAGGAGAAAGCUCCGGCUAAAUACGUGCCAGCAGCCGCGGUAAUACGUAUGGAGCGAGCGUUGUCCGGAAUUAUUGGGCGUAAAGGGUGCGCAGGCGGCUUUACAAGUUGGAUGUGAAAUAUUGUGGCUCAACCACAAACGUGCAUCCAAAACUGCAAAGCUUGAGUUAAGGAGAGGUAAGUGGAAUUCCUGGUGUAGCGGUGGAAUGCGUAGAUAUCAGGAGGAAUACCGGUGGCGAAGGCGACUUACUGGACUUAAACUGACGCUCAGGCACGAAAGCGUGGGGAGCAAACAGG